rnacentral:lncRNA from 1 species
GGAGGAUUCUGGGAAAUGUAGGAAAAGGAAAGAGUCACCAUGUGAUCCCAGGAAGAGAUGACAGCAUCCUCGAUCACAUGCAGACUCCCAUAAGGAGCCCUUCCCGUUUCCCAGAACACUGAACACGGCAAAAGCGCGAGAAAAAUAGCACCACAUGUUCACCUCUAGGGUCUCAGAUUACCCAGAGAAAGAUUGUUUUAUCCAAGCACAGAGAGAAACACUGCGGCUAAAGUGAACUGAGCGUUUAGGCACUGGGUAGCUGCCGCCGCCAAGGCAAAGUCUGUGCAGAGCAGCGGGAGGCUGGGUCAGCCACCUUCACCCGACAGAGUGCGGUUUGUGCUACUGGCUGGCACCCCACCUGCUACAUGGACACUGCUGAGGCCCAGGGUUACUGAAGCCCGGCCCUUCUUCUCCAGGGUAUUUUUCCUUAAC